UACGAAGGGGGCUAGCGUUGCUCGGAUUUACUGGGCGUAAAGGGCGCGUAGGCGGACAGUUUAGUCAGAGGUGAAAGCCCAGGGCUCAACCUUGGAAUUGCCUUUGAUACUGGCUGUCUUGAGUACGGGAGAGGUGAGUGGAACUCCGAGUGUAGAGGUGAAAUUCGUAGAUAUUCGGAAGAACACCAGUGGCGAAGGCGACUCACUGGCCCGUUACUGACGCUGAGGCGCGAAAGCGUGGGAGCAAACAGG
rnacentral:rRNA from 1 species